GGCCAAGAGCCCUGCAUGCACGCUCCUCCCAAACCCGGCCAGCCUGGGGACCUUUCAUAGCCCUGUCACGCAGGGGCUAUCACCCAUUCUACAGAAGGAGAAACCAAGGCUAGGAGACGCCCGAGGCCUACAGUCAAGGAGCGGCUGGAGGGGCUCAACAGCACCAUGCAGGAGGCAAACCAAGGCCUGCAGAGGGUCCGGGCGAGCCCCAGCGUGCGGCCGGCAGGUCUUACAGCCCCAUGCGCCUGACCCUCUCGAGCGCAGAGGAAUGCAUGGAGGCCUGGAGGGGCGAAGACGUGCCUGAAUGAGUCUUGGACUAGCACCCUGGGGUCCUGAGCACCGUCCGGGACUUUCCCACAACAUCAAGGCCUACAGGGACGUGGGACAAGCCUGGGCCAACUCAUCACACACGGCGUGCCUCUGUUGCAUCUGAAAAAAAGAAGCACUCCCGCCCCCUGCCUGCCUCCCAGGACGUGCAUGGUGCAGCCAAGAAUGGACAGACCCCAAAGGCUGGGAAACACUCACUACCAGGUGUGGGGCCAGGGGAGGAGGUAAGGAAAGAUGAGCACAUCAGCCCUAUCUGAUGCAAGGAUCAACCCAGGAGAGGACUCCAGCAUGGUGUGACCCUCACAAGGGCCAGCCGUCAUGUGCUGCCCCAUGCUGCCUGGCCGACCUGCUCCGGGUACCGAGGAUGGAAGUGACAAGAAAUGGUCAGCCGCCUGGGUGGUGGCACAUGCCUGUAAUCCCAGCACACGGGAGGCUGAGGCAGAAGGAUCACCAGAAGUUCAAGGCCAGUCUGGACUACAAAGCGAGACCCUGUCUCAAAACAAAACAAAGAAAUUGUCAGUCUCACCUCAGGUCUCAAACGUAUGUCCUGCUGUGCCCUGCCUGGAGUGGCUCAUUAUUUGUUCAAUUUCUUUAUUUCCUCUCUGCCAGACUCUAAAUUGGGCAUCGCCAAAAUUUUUCUGUAGUCACAGCUCCACAGUUGUAGGGCAGAGCAGCCAUAUGCAACAGGCAAACAAAUGAAUGCAGAUAUGUUUAAAUAAAACUUUAUUUAUAAGAACAA